rnacentral:rRNA from 1 species
GGUUGAUCCUGCCAGUAGUCAUAUGCUUGUCCCAAAGAUUAAGCCAUGCAUGUCUAAGUAUAUACCUUUAUACGGUGAAACUGCGAAUGGCUCAUUAUAUCAGUUAUAAUUUACUUGAUGAUUUCUUUACUACUUGGAUAACCGUGGUAAUUCUAGAGCUAAUACAUGCAAAAAGCCCAACUUCUGGAAGGGUUGUAUUUAUUAGAUAAAAACCAAUGCCGGCAACGGCUUUUGGUGAGUCAUGAUAACUGCGCAGAUCGCAUGGCCUUGAGCCGGCGACGCUUCAUUC